AAAAAAAGUACCGACAAUUAGAUCAUUGACAAAAAAAACAAACAAUAAACAAAAACAAGUUACUUAGACUUAUUGCAGUAAUUUCAAUUACAUGUAUAAGUCUCAAUAAAUUUAUCAUGAACUAAACGUGCGUACAGAAGAGUUUUUCCAGCAUCACUUAAACCCGUGAGCAAAAUACUGCGUCCUGCAGAUUUUCUUCUCCGCCAUGUGAAGAAAACUGAAAAUGAAUUUUUAUAUUAAUUAACAAACCAUAAAAAAUAUGCGGACAUUAAAUUUAAAAUUAAUCAGCACAAAAUAAAUUAUAAGACUUGCAAGUGUCAAAUGCAUAAAUUUCUAGUAUGAUUUUUUUAUCAUAAAUAACAGUAAUCUUUUAACUGAAAUUUAUAAAAUUAAUGCUAUGUAUUCGUUUUUGUACUACAUGUAUUAUUACAAUGUAUUGUGUGCAUAUUUUUUAUUUUUAAUACUACUGAUGUUUUACAAUUAUUGUAAAUACUAUGAAAUACGUUUGUCUUAAAUAAAUUUUUGUAAUUUUUA